GCAAAAUUGAUGGGGUCGGGGCAGACGCUGUCCUCUAGGACGUCGCCGUGCAGGCGCUUCUUCCCAGAAGCCCGUUUAUCCCACGUCUUCCCGGUCGCCACCGUCCGAGCUCUUGUUCUGCACGCCCUAUGCAGAUUGUUCUUGAGAAAAAAAGCCGUGUGCAAGAGGAAUAGUUACUUUACGAACACCUUAAGCGAGGAAUUUUACUUCUCUGCUAACUUGCGCUCACCGGCUCUCGACCCACCUCUUCUUAAAAAGGCAGGGGGGAAGAAGAAGCGCUGUUUAAGUGGGUUCUAGAAGGCGCCUACCUGCUAACGGGCUUUUCGGUGAACAAGGAUCUGUGUUACCCAGUAAGGCUACAUGUCUACAGCACUGAUCACACUUCGCUUAUUUGCCAUUCCCUGCUGGACCAUAAGCAGCAUGAGGGAAGCGAAUCCUCUGUCUCGUCAUCUCUCCACGCCCACCAUCCACCACAGAGCCUAGAACAUGGGCUUCCCUGGUGGUGCAGUGGUUAAGAAUCCGCCUGCCAGUGCAGGGGACACGGGUUUGAUCCCUGGUCCAGGAAGAUCCCACAUGCCACGGAGCAACUAAGCCCAUGCACCACAACUACUGAGCCUGCGCUCUAGAGCCCGUGUGCCACAACUGCUGAAGCCCACGCGCCUAGAGCCUGUGUCCUGCAACAAGAGAAGCCAUGACAAUGAGAAGCCCGCGCACCCCAACGAAGAGUAGCCCCGGCUCGCUGCAACUAGAGAAAGCCCACACACAGCAACGAAGACCCAACUCAGCCAAAAAUAGAAACAAAUAAAUAAAUUUAUAUUUUAAAAAAGUUUAUAAAUUAUAUGACUUGCAGUUUCAUAAAAUUCUGAAUGAAUGUUCUAUCUAGGACAAAAUAGAUCCCUGAGCAACAUAUCAUAUUUGAACAAGGCCUCUGAAUGUCACAGAUAUCAGUCACAAAAGUAAACACUUAUCCAUGGCAGACUGAGUAAAGAUUUCAGUGUGAUAUUCUAGAAGCUCAAGACUAUAAAUCACUUUUACUAUACACAGCUCUACACACAGAGUUUUUUGUGGGAAUUCUUGGGUUUCCACUUCACACAUCAUCUAUCACCUAAUGUGUGAAAUCAAUUCAGACAUUUGCAAAAAGUUGUACAAGUUACUGUAUUUACAAAAAUGGCACAAAAGUGAAUUCAACAGUCUAUGCAUGUACAUACUUCAUUCACAUCUUCAACAAAAACAAAAAGAUAUUCUAACACUACAGAAGUGAAAAACACUAGGUACCAUGGGCUCUCUUACGUAAGCAUUAGGGUCACACAAGGUUACACCAGAAUAGGCAAAUAUUGCCCAGAAAAAAUUCUAUUUUUAAAAAUGAAACAAGUUUAAGGCAAAUCAAGUUCAACUACAGGGACACAAGUCUUUCAUAUCUGCCUGAAAUAUGUGAUGUCUUCUAAUUUGUGGUCUUAAACUUCUGUUUUACAAAAUCCAAAAAGAAAAAGACAGAGGAAAGUAACAAUAGAGAUUAUAUGAAAUAAGAAAAAUAUUAAAAGUUUAAAAUUAAGUGAGGAAACCCAAAACAUUAAAAUCAUAAAAUUUGCUUAUUACUUGUUAGAACUAGUUUUACACUAGAAAAUAUGAAAUAUAUACAGUUGUUUUCAGAAAAUUACUUUAUACUGCUCUGAUGUGUCUUUUUCAUUGGUGCAUUGUUUAAUCCAAAAAUUAUACACAUUCAAAUUUUAAGAUUAUACCCCUUCAAGAAACAGCACAUCUCACUGCUACCUACAAAGCUGUCCCAAUGACAUAGUGUAUGAAAGGAAACAAAUAGCUGAGAAGUAAUAUAUUAAGAAGAAAUAAUAAAAAUGAGAAGAUUCCCAAUUCAGUUCUUUUACUCAGCCAGACAAUUCACUAGCCACAGCAAUGGUCUCUGUUUGGAAGGUCCCGUCGAGUAGGAGACAUGGUCCCUAGACACCUAUGUCUCAUCUGAGGCUGCAGUAGAAGUUGC